ACUACAGUCCAUUCUUAUUGUGUAGAAGAUGAAGACAGUGUGCUGACAAUUUCCACCGUGUGUUCACUGAGAGAGGCAACUUCUCCAAAGUGAAAUGAUGAAGAUGGCUAUGUCUAACGUGCAUACAGAUCCUGUCCCAAAUAAACAAGACACAACAGGCAAUCUGGCUUGCUGGAUUAAUAGAGAUGAGACCUGAAUAAAUUGUAAAGGAGUGGAGUAACAGUAAACA